AUUCAGCCAUGCAAGUAGUAUGUAUGUAUACACAAGGCUCAGUAUCGAGUAUAGCUUUGCUCUCCAAGAUGUGAUACUUUCAGGAAACAGAAAAUAAAGCAUCUAUCUUCUAAAGUCUUUUAGAGGAGAGGAGAAGAAGCGACUCACCUAUCAGUUAGUAGGUAUGGUAAGGGCAUACCUAGACGAAGACGGGUACGGGGAAGGCAACUUCGAUUCCGGAGAGGGCGCAUUUAGAGAUGGCGACCAGUUCUAAGGAGUGCAGCAGGCUCGAAACUUACCGAAUUAUAGAUUAGAGGUAGUGAUGAAACGUUUAUAUAGAAAUACUGGUAAAGCAAGUAUUAUCAACUGGAGGGAAAGUCUGGUGCCAGCAGCCGCGGUAAUACCAGCUCCAGGAGCUUCUUCGAUAUGUUGCGGUUAAAACGUCCGUAGUCGCGGCUUGGGACUGACCUGUAAUCUAUUUGGUCAACAGAUAGAUAGGGGCAGUAGCAAGCUGGAAAAGAGCAAUUUGGUGUCAGCUAAUGGUAUGGGGAGGGGUGAAGUCUGAGGAUCCAUGCAGGAGGAGCAAAGGCGAAAGCACUGACAAAGAUUGAUUCUGUUGAUCAAGGACAGAGGCUAGAGGAUCGAAUACGAUUAGAUACCGUAGUAGUUCUAGCAGUGACCGAUGAUGAUUUUGCUUAUGGCAAUAGAGAAAUCAAAAUAGAUCUCCGGGGGGAGUACAUGCGCAAGCAAGAAACUUAAAGAAAUUGACGGAAGACUACCACAAGGUGUGGAUUGUUCGGCUUAAUUUGACUCAACGCGGGAAAACUUACCAAGCUUAUUUAUUCAACGAGUAUUUAUACGAGAGUAAAAUGGUGGUGCAUGGCCGUUCCUAACAGAUGGAGUGAUUUUGUGAUUAACUUCCAUAAUCUGUGUAAUCUCAGAAUAGCUUGUUCGAAAGAACAAUUCGAGGCAAGAACAGGUCAGUGAUGUCCUUUGAUAGCUUGGGCUGCACGCGCAAUACAAUGUUUUAUGUAGUAAGAUAUAGAUAAAAAAUAGAACAUGAGGGAUUGAGGGCUGAAAAGCACUCAUGAACACGGAAUAGCUAGUAAUCGUCAGUUCAAUAUACGGCGAUGAAUAUGUCCCUGUUCUUUGUACACACCGCCCGUCGUUAUCGAAGAUGGAGUGAUUUUUGAGUCAAUUAUAAUUGGCGAAUGA
rnacentral:rRNA from 1 species